rnacentral:rRNA from 1 species
AGAGUUUGAUCCUGGCUCAGAACGAACGCUGGCGGCGUGCCUAACACAUGCAAGUCGUACGAGAAAAUCCGCUUCGGCGGGUGAGUAGAGUGGCGCACGGGUGAGUAACGCGUGGAUAAUCUGCCUUUAAGCUGGGAAUAACUCACCGAAAGGUGGGCUAAUACCCGAUAAUGCUAUGGGACUUCGGUUUUAUAGCCAAAGAGAGCCUCUACAUGUAAGCCUUCACUUAAAGAUGAGUCCGCGUACCAUUAGCUAGUUGGUAGGGUAAUGGCCUACCAAGGCGACGAUGGUUAGCUGGUCUGAGAGGAUGAUCGGCCACAAGGGGACUGAGACACGGCCCCUACUCCUACGGGAGGCAGCAGUAGGGAAUUUUGCUCAAUGGGGGAAACCCUGAAGCAGCGACGCCGCGUGGGCGACGAAAUCCUUCGGGAUGUAAAGCCCUUUUAACCGGGACGAAAUACAUGACGGUACCGGUGGAAUAAGCCUCGGCUAACUCCGUGCCAGCAGCCGCGGUAAGACGGGGGAGGCAAGCGUUGUCCGGAAUCACUGGGUGUAAAGGGCGUGUAGGCGGGCCGGCUAGUCGGUUGUUAAAUCUCUCCGCUCAACGGAGAAGCUGCGGCCGAUACUUCCGGUCUUGAGUGCGGCAGGGGAGGAUGGAAUCCCUGGUGUAGCGGUGAAAUGCGUAGAUAUCAGGAGGAACACCGGUGGCGAAGGCGGUCCUCUGGGCCUGCACUGACGCUGAGUGCGCGAAAGCUGGGGUAGCAAACAGGAUUAGAUACCCUGGUAGUCCUAGCCAUAAACGA